UACGAAGGUGGCAAGCGUUGUUCGGAUUUACUGGGCGUACAGGGAGCGUAGGCGGUUCGGUAAGCCCUCUGUGAAAUCUCCAGGCUUAACCUGGAACAGUCGGAGGGGACUGCUGGGCUAGAGGACGGGAGAGGAGCGCGGAAUUCCUGGUGUAGCGGUGAAAUGCGUAGAUAUCAGGAGGAACACCUGUGGUGUAGACAGCUUACUGGACCAUGACUGACGCUGAGGCACGAAAGCGUGGGGAGCAAACAGG
rnacentral:rRNA from 1 species